CCUACGGGAGGCAGCAGUGAGGAAUAUUGGUCAAUGGACGAGAGUCUGAACCAGCCAAGUAGCGUGAAGGAUGACUGCCCUAUGGGUUGUAAACUUCUUUUAUAUGGGAAUAAAACGUUCCACGUGUGGGAUUUUGUAUGUACCAUAUGAAUAAGGAUCGGCUAACGCCGUGCCAGCAGCCGCGGUAAUACGGAGGAUCCGAGCGUUAUCCGGAUUUAUUGGGUUUAAAGGGAGCGUAGGUGGAUUGUUAAGUCAGUUGUGAAAGUUUGCGGCUCAACCGUAAAAGUGCAGUUGAAACUGGCAGUCUUGAGUACAGUAGAGGUGGGCGGAAUUCGUGGUGUAGCGGUGAAAUGCUUAGAUAUCACGAAGAACUCCGAUUGCGAAGGCAGUUCACUGGACUGAGACUGACACUGAGGCGCGAAAGUGUGGGUAUCAAACAGGAUUAGAUACCCCAGUAGUC
rnacentral:rRNA from 1 species